UGGGGAAUUGUUCGCAAUGGGCGCAAGCCUGACGACGCAACGCCGCGUGGAGGAUGAAGACUUUCGGGUCGUAAACUCCUUUCGACCGAGAUGAAUUCCCGCCGACCUAACACGUCGGCGGGGUGACAGUAUCGAGGGAAGAAGCCCCGGCUAACUCCGUGCCAGCAGCCGCGGUAAUACGGGGGGGGCAAGCGUUGUUCGGAAUUACUGGGCGUAAAGGGUUCGUAGGUGGCCUGCUAAGUCACACGUGAAAUCCCUCAGCUUAACUGGGGAACUGCGUGUGGGACUGGCGGGCUUGAGUGCAGGAGAGGAACGCGGAAUUCCAGGUGUAGCGGUGAAAUGCGUAGAUAUCUGGAGGAACACCGGUGGCGAAGGCGGCGUUCUGGACUGCAACUGACACUGAGGAACGAAAGCCAGGGGAGCAAACGG
rnacentral:rRNA from 1 species